GCUCCUUAUUUUUGAAAACAAAGACUGGACACAUAAGAAAUGAAGACCCCAGCCCAGCUACGUAUUAAUUUAUCAAGCGUUUCAACUGAACAGGCAGCUUUUGAAUCUAUAGCUGAAGAUGACUGUGAUAUCGACACCUAUGACAGUGAUGCAGACCCAUUAUUUGAACCAUCAGACUCAGAUUCUGUAUCUUCUGAUGAAGUUAAGAAAAUAUGGAACCAAACAGACGUCAACAGACAUUGGCUGAUGAAGAAGGUGGAAACAUGGUGACUGAGAACAACAUUCUUCAAGAGAAAGAAACUCAGGAAAAGGAGUAAAGUUGCAAACAAACUUUCCUGGAACAAAAAUAUUCGUAAAGUGAAUCGUCAGAAAGGGGUAGCAUAUACAUCCAUGAGGGGAAAACCUGUUAAUGGAAGAAAGGUGAGAGCAAAGGACUGUUCAAAGUGUCCACGUAAGUGUAACUCUCACUUUGAUGAAAGUGAAUGAGUGAAGCUACAUGAAAGUUAUUGGAACAUUGGUAAUCUUGAAAAACAACGGCAAUACAUAAGAGGUUUAGUGGAACAAACAAAAAAAGCAGUUGUUAGAACCACUGAGCCUGAAUCUAGGAGACAAAAUACUUUGAAAUUUUUUUUAGUAAGAGAUUCAGAGAAGAUUCAAGUCUUCAAAAGUUUUUUUAGAGCUACAUUUCACAUAUCAGAAAUGUUUAUAAGGAAUGUCAUUAAGAAAUCAGAUGAUAACAAUAUAGUCCAAAUUGAUAAGAGGAGAAGACACCAGCCCGGUUUGAAACGACCAGAGGCAUGUAGAGAAUAUAUUAUAAAAGAGCAUAUUGAAUCGUUCCCAAGAGUGCCUUCCCACUACUGUCGAAAAGAUACACUUUAUGAAUAUUUGGCUUGUGAUCUCAACAUAAAUAAAAUGUAUGAUUUGUAUAAAACUAAAUGUGAAACAGAUGGUGUAGUUCCAGAAAAAUUUUGGUUUUACAGAAAUAUUUUCGUCACAGAAUUUAAUAUAAAAGCUCAGGAAGCUCAUGAAAAUAGAAACCGUGAAGCAAAAGAAAUUAAAACAAGAAUGAAGGAGCAAGCAGUGAAUGAUGAAAUAAAUUUUGUGGAAUUCGACAUGAAAGCAGUGCAGUACUGCCCAUCAAUUAAUGCAAUGGCAAUCUUUUAUAGGAGAAGACUUGCAUAUGUCGAAUGAAGAAAAGGAAAAAAUAAUGAAGCUCAGGAAGCUCAUGAAAAUAGAAACCGUGAA